UAAAAAUUACGGUAAAGUACUGUCAGAAAUAGAAAAGAGUAAUAGACCGGAUAGUGGUUGAAAUAGAAGAAUUUUGAGGCCAAAGACGGCCAACAUUUACUGGGGCUAGAUCUAUUCGGGGACUGUCUUUUAAUCCACUCGAAUCAAAAGUUGUAACCAUUCAAUUUUUCGUGCUAACCUUUUACUUGUUCUACAUCACAAGUUGAAAUAUUAAGGCUAAAUACCAAUAUAGGCUAAAUGCCUAUAUAGCCCCUUGAACUUGGCAUAAUUUGUAGUACUAAGUUAAACAGUUCAAUUAACUAGGGACCAGAUGAACACCUGCGCUCCAUAAAAAUAUGGCUAAAACUUAAGCCUCCCUAUGUCCCGUUGAGUUGUCCCACAUUGAAGGAAUUUGAGGUCAUUGGUCUCCUUAUAUUGCUUGGGCAAUCCUCACCUCAUAAUUUAGCUUUUGGGGUUGAGUUAGGCCCAAGGUCCAUUCUUAUCAUGGUAUCAGAGCCAGGCUCAUNN
rnacentral:lncRNA from 1 species